CUUCUCCCAAAUAUAAUAUUCACUUGCCAUGUCUAUACUUUGACACGAUUUCAAAAAGCACCCAGUUAAAUCAUUCAGAUCAGUCGAUGGGCAAAAACUAUGAAGUUUUCCUGACUCUAUGGUAGAGCUAAGCAUGCAUUUCCUUUAAUGACAGAAAGAACAUGUUCAUCUGAUAAGAAACAAAAAACAAACAAACAAAAAAAGGUCGAUAUAAAUUCUCCACUGUGAUAUACAACACAAAUACCUUUCUUAUAACUUUCUUAUCUUCCUUGGUCGGGCACAUGUCUUGGGACAAAGGCUACCUUGAAAGCUAAGCACGGCUGAAUGGUGAGUCGAUUGCGAAUUAUCAGUGAAUGGUUUGGAUAUGAUCGACUAAGACUCCACUGGGAAGAGUGCUGUUUAGACGAAAGAAAACCGAUGAGGUCCGUGGUUCCCUGAAUAAGAAUGGCAUGAAGUAGAGCCACAGGUGAUGUGAGGCAGACUCAUCAUAUGGGUGAGAGAUAAAAUCUAGCUGUCAUAAGCCACAGGGAUUUGGGGUCAUUUCUUGACUGUAACGUAAUGCAACCUAAACUGACAGAUGCUAUGCGUUUCUACAGUCACUUUUUUGGAGACCAGAACUCUUAUUCAUAGAUAAGAUCCAGCAUGCUUGUUAACAGAUACAUGUACAUUUAUCUUAGUUAUACUGGAUAUUGUAUAAUUGUGUAUACUAUGUCAUGAAAUUCCCAUCCAAAAAACUAACAAAAAAUGUUUCAGUGUUGGCUCCUGGCUUCCUUUCAUUCCCAGUUUGUCUUCACCCCAGUGCCUAUUCUCUGAAUAUAAAGUUCUUCAGAACCCAGGAAUCACGUGGUGACUAUGACCAAAGCUCAUUUCCCAACAAGUGGCCACAGAGGACAAGGUGUGGAGGACACUGGAAGGAGCCCAUGACUGACGGGCGUGUUGCCUGAUGCUACAGGAGAUCCAUUGAUCGCAUCUCAAAGCAGUUUCUAGAGAAGCAGGAAGAAUUUAAAAUGCUCUGGAGAAAUUAUUUUCACCAUUUGUGCUUUUAAAGAAUAGGACGUAUUAAUUUUUCAUAAAUUCUUGUUAACCAUGGCAAUACACAAUGCCAUUAUUUCUUAAACUCUGGUUCAGGUUAUUUACAAAAUAGGUCAGGUCACCCCUUUCCAGCCCAGAGCCAGAAUUAAAAUAAAACAAUCCUCACUCCAGCUUCUGUUCUCCCCCGCACACAUUCCUGCCGUCUGGAAGGACCCGAAGCAAACGUUCCUGAUAUAUUUGGAAGGGAACAAAAGUUAGUACGGAACAGCAUUUGACCUCUGUCUUGUAUUAAUGUGAAUCUUAGGCUGCCCUGCACGCACUUCCGAAAGCGACAUAUCUCCCUGCAGGAUCAGUGACAGGGAGACAGCUGGCCGGCCUCAGAACGAGCUCCGCCCCAUAAGGACUGCACGGCUGUCCUGUUAGAAAAGCAACGGUGAGGGGCUCCUCCCCAGCUGGUGCCUUUGUGGGGACUUUCUCAUCAAGAGUCAUUACACCGCCAGCGUGGUGGAGUGACAUAUCCAUGGGGAUUUGGUAACAACGAGAUUCUGUACUGUAGGCUCAUGAAUUCAGGAAUUCAUGAAUAUUGAAGAAAUGCACACGGCUCACCACAAGAAAAUAUCGAUUAAACUUCUUUACCCAAGUGUCAGCAUACUAGGAGUUAAUAAAGUGAACUAAAUUGAUAGGUAACAUUGAUCUCUGACACAGGCAGUAGAAUUAAACCCUGGGUGGGUAAAUAAAUCAAAGCUAGUAGAAGCACCUG
rnacentral:lncRNA from 1 species